ACGUAGAGAGAGCGGAAGAAGACCCGGACCCUGAGGUAGAUCUGAACCUGUGUGGGGUUUUAAAGUUGUGAUCAUGGCUCUGGGAGACUGCUGGAAACAGUUAUCCUGGUUUUACUACCAGUACCUCCUCGUGACCGCGCUGUACAUGCUGGAGCCGUGGGAGAGGACCGUGUUCAACUCUCUGCUCAUCUCUGUCGCCGGCAUGGCGGUCUACACCGGCUACGUCUUCAUGCCGCAGCACAUCAUGGCCAUCCUGCACUACUUCGAGGUCGUACAAUGACACCGCGAGACCACCACCACCACCUCUCCGUCCACUGGUCCCGUCUGUCUCCAGCUCCUGGUCUGUCCAUCCAUCCACCCACCCGUGGCUCGAGGAGUCCGGCCAUGUAGAGGCAGAGCUUCUCCCACACCUCCUCCUCCUCCUCCUCCUCCUCCUCUUCCUCCAGAGCUGGUUCCAAAGGUCAAAGCUGUGAGUGUCGAUCCGGAGCGUCUCGGUGGACGGUGCUCCUCUCUUGGACUCUUUCUCCUUCGUUGAAAUAUUUGAAGGACGUUCAUCAUGGAUGUGAAGACCUUUAAAGAAGACGUGCUUGAUUAUAUUCCACGUGUUUUAUUUUGAUCUCCUUAAAUCAAGCUCACUGUGCUGUUUUUGAGAAGUGUAAAUGAUCUGGUUGUGUGGACUGACUAUUUUUAUUUUUUAUUCCAUGAAGGUAUGAAACCGUUGUUGUCUUAGAGUUUUAUUCAGGGUUUGGGAACACAGAGGUUAAUAUGAAUGCUUUUUUUAUGAGCCGUGUAUGAUUAUGAGAGCCGAUCAGAUGUUGAAAGUGAGCGGGAGCUUCGCUGAAGGAGAUCUUCAGACGUUCUCGCUGCCUUUAUUUUAAUAAACAGAAACUCUUUGGCGACUUACGGUUAAUCCUAAAUCUGACGAUGAUAAACUGACCCUGCAGUAAAUACAUGUUUCCCUGUAAAAACCAAAGCUGCCACAUUCCUAAGAGAGUUGAAUAUUUGUUCCUGCUAAGCACAAAGUCGACUUACUCAGCUUUAAUCAGAGCCUUAAACCAUGAGAACCAGGAGUGUGCAGAACGUGGAGGUAGAUGAUGCACAUGGUGAACCAUCCUCCGUUUGAAGCGCUCUCUUGUUUUGGAGCUGUUUGAUCUGUCUCAUCCUAACUCUUAAAUCCCACAGCAGCUCCUACAGAUGUGUGUUUUUAUCGUCAGCUAGUUCAACAUCAGCGUUAACACUGAGCUUCUUAAAGGUGCAGGACGGGUCCGGUUUGAGUUGUUGCUCUUUUUGUAGCUUAAGCAAUAAAAGAGAGAGGAUUUUUCUAAAUGUGUUCAGACCAAAAGCAAAGCAAAGAAAUGUGUGAUACUGUAACAUCCAGGGUCGAUGCAAAGACAAGGAUUCCAGAUGCCUCAGAAAUGAUCGUAACCAAACUCCAAACAUUUUGAAUUUGUUUUCCUGUGACCUUGAAAACAAAUCUGAUAACCGCCUUUUCAGUCUGCAUCACGUGGUAGUUAUUUCAGCAUCAUUUCAGCCUCUUUAUUUUGGUUUAAUAGAGCUUGACUCUGUAGAAACAGUGAAACUGAGACUCACUACUGGUGCUCUACAGUUGAAACAAGACUGGUGGUAGUUGUAGUCCAUUAGAAAAAUCCUGGAAGAGACUCUACUGUGGUCAGCAGGUUUCAGACUACUUUAGUGUGACUUGUUGGAUACAGUGAAGCUGAGACUCAGUGGAAAGAAAUGGACAAGGUGUAACACAGCUGAAGAAACACAGAGUUGUCCAUCAGAGGAAUCCUGGAACAAACUGGGCACUGGUCAGCAGAUUCCAGACUACUUUAGUGUGACGUGUUGGAUACAGUGAAGCUGAGACUCACUACUGUUGCUCUACAGUUGAAACAAGACUGCUGGUAGUUGUAGUCCAUUAGAAAAAUCCUGGAACAGACUCUAUUGUGGUCAGCAGGUUUCAGACUACUUUAGCGUGACGUGUUAGAUACAGUGAAGCUGAGACUCAGUGGAAAGAAAUUGACAGAUGCUCUACAGCUGAAACAGCUUUGAUAGUUUGGGUCAAUCAGAAAAAUCCUGGAACAAACUGCACACUAGCAGCAGAUUUCGGACAGCUUUUGUUUGACAUGUUAGAUACAGUGAAGCUGAGACUCAGUGGGAAGAAAUUGAUAGGUGCUCUAUAGUUGUAACAACGCUGAUAUUUGGUGUCUAUCAGAUAAAUCCUGGAACAAACUGGGCGCUAGUCAGCAACUUUUAGACAGCUUUAGUUUGACUUGUUGGAUACAGUGAAGCUGAGACUCACUACAGAGAAAUAGACAUGGUGUAACACAGCUGAAACAACGCUUAUAGUUUGUGUCCAUCAGACAAACCCUGGAACAUCCCUACAGUGUUCAGCAGGUUUCUGACUACUUUAGCGUGACAUGUUAGCUACAGUGAAACUGAGACUCCCUAGUUAGAAAUCUCAGGUGCUCUACAGCUGAAACCGACCACUGGUAGUUGUAGUCCAUCAGAGAAAUCCUGGAUCAAACUCUGCAGAUUUCAGACAACUUAAAUGUGACUUACAGUGAAGCUGACACUCAGCAGAGAUAAAUGUGAUAUUAGGACUUUAAAAGCUUUCAAUCUGAGCAUAAAAUCCUCUUUCUGUUCUGUUCAGACUCCUUAUCCCAAAUAAAGGACUUCAGGUUACACCGUUGAAUAACUUUAAUAAAUCAACACUCCUGUUAAAACUGGACUACAUGAAACUUUAACUCUCUGUGCAGAAAUGAAUGUUUCCUCUUCAUGUGACCUUAUUGUACAUGUUACACACUCCCUCUGUAACUGCUCUCCCUGACACAGUUGUGAUUGUUAUUCCCUGCGAACACUGAAUUCUGUGUGUUUGUUUGUUUGUAUAUAAUCUUGUAUACAUAUUUGUAAAGUUUUGUAGUCGGAUACGAUGGCGCACAGAAUAAGAUGUUUGUGGUUUAUGUUAGCUUCUGAUGCUAAAUACCUCUAUAAACUGAAAUCAUUAAAGGGAUAUUUCACUGAGA